GUAGGGAAUAUUGGACAAUGGGCGAAAGCCUGAUCCAGCCAUGCCGCGUGGUAGAUGAAGGCCCUCUGGGUUGUAAAUACCUUUUAUCUGGGAAGAAAUAUCUCAUUCUUGAGAAACUGACGGUACCAGAUGAAUAAGCACCGGCUAACUCCGUGCCAGCAGCCGCGGUAAUACGGAGGGUGCAAGCGUUAUCCGGAUUUACUGGGUUUAAAGGGUGCGUAGGCGGAAUUGUAAGUCAGUGGUGAAAGCCCCGAGCUUAACUUGGGAAUUGCCAUUGAUACUGCUUUUCUUGAAUACGAUUGAGGUAAGCGGAAUGUUGCAUGUAGCGGUGAAAUGCUUAGAUAUGUUACAGAACACCAAUUGCGAAGGCAGCUUACUAAGUCGUUAUUGACGCUGAGGCACGAAAGCGUGGGUAGCAAACAGGAUUAGAAACCCUAGUAGUCC
rnacentral:rRNA from 1 species